AGGACGAACGCUGGCGGCGUGCCUAAUACAUGCAAGUCGAACGGUCUUUUCUAUGGAAGCUUGCUUCCACUGAGAAGAUAGUGGCGAACGGGUGAGUAACACGUGGGUAACCUGCCCAUAAGAGGGGGAUAACAUCCGGAAACGGGUGCUAAUACCGCAUAGUUUUCUUGAUCGCAUGAUUGAGAAAGGAAAGACGGCCUUUGUGCUGUCGCUUAUGGAUGGACCCGCGGCGUAUUAGUUAGUUGGUGAGGUAACGGCUCACCAAGACGAUGAUACGUAGCCGACCUGAGAGGGUGAUCGGCCACAUUGGGACUGAGACACGGCCCAAACUCCUACGGGAGGCAGCAGUAGGGAAUCUUCCGCAAUGGACGAAAGUCUGACGGAGCAACGCCGCGUGAGUGAAGAAAAGGGUUUUCGGAUCGUAAAACUCUGUUGUCAGAGAAGAACAAGUUGGAGAGUAACUGCUCCAGCCUUGACGGUAUCUGACCAGAAAGCCACGGCUAACUACGUGCCAGCAGCCGC
rnacentral:rRNA from 1 species